UGAGUGCAUUACAACCCACAAAGACUUCCAACUUCUACUCUUCAAUAUGACUGUCCUGAAGGUCGCAUAUUGAACUCCGUGGGCACGCGAACCUAUGAGCGACUGUAUUCACAAACGAUGCAGAUACACUGCGUAUCGCCAGUUUGCAAGGUGAGUAUGGCACAAGCUUGGAAAAAACAAGAUCAUGGUCAUCCCAGCCUGUGCAGUGAAGACGGUCUGGCAAGCCUUUCCCACAGAAAAUGCCACAGGCUUCAAGUACCCAAGAUCCUAACUGGGGGUACCUCUUCGCACAGCUCGUCUAUCACAUUUAAAAUAAUUCAGCAUCUGUAUUUAGGAUGAUCUAUAGCUCUCAGGAUGAUGCAUGGUUCAUGAGUUCAACAUGUUGUGUUGAAACACAACACUAGUCCUUUUUAAUGAGUCUUGCGGAGUGAUAGAUGAGCACUCCUUUCGUGACAUUGUGUACCAUUGCUACAGUGAACAAUUUCUUGAGCAAGACUGAUGAACGAACAAAAAAUAGAGUCUUGUCUUCCAAAUAUGUAUGUUCCUUGUAACUUCAUGUAUGUUCCUUGUAAUUUGUUAAGUGACCCAUGUUGAUGUCCCCCCUCAUGUAAUGCCUGCAAUGGCAUUUGAGAUAUAUUCAUAAAUAAAUAAAUAUCAAAACUGGAAAAA